rnacentral:rRNA from 1 species
AGGACGAACGCUGGCGGCGUGCUUAACACAUGCAAGUCACGGGGGCUGGCUGGGCAACUGGCCAGUAACCGGCGAACGGGUGCGUAACACGUGAGCGACCUGCCUUAUUGAGGGGGAUAGCCGGCCCAACGGCCGGGUAAUACCGCAUACGCUUGAGUGGGGGCAUCCCUGUUCAAGGAAACCUCCGGGGCGAUAAGAGGGGCUCGCGGCCUAUCAGCUAGUUGGUGAGGUAACGGCUCACCAAGGCGAUGACGGGUAGC